ACUGCAGGCAGAAUCAGCCUCCCACAGAUCAGCAUUCCCUUGGAGCUGCAGGAGAUGGGCAUCUGCCAUGAUGCAGUAUGUGAGCCUAUGUUAUGAUAGGCUGUUAUCCUAACCUAAAACCUGUUUUGGUUUUAGAAUUACAGGUUAAUUUUAAGCCCAGCAUUAACAGAUUUUCCAAAGCUGUAAAUUGAAGACUUGCUCCCUAUAGAGUGGUGAAGAAAAGAUGCAACAGCUGAAUGUGGUAGUUGGACUUGGGACAGAUGGCGUGCAAGAGCAAAUGCUCCAGAAGGGAAAGUGGUUUUACAGAGAGGGAUUACAUGGGCUCUACGCUGACUGAACAGUCCUGCACUGCUCUUCGAAUGUUUAACUGUUGUCACAGAACUAAAGUUGAUGCCUCCUCCCCAUCUCACAUGUGGAAGAGGAGCUGCAGUCCCCAUGGGCUCCCUGCAUGGCUCAUGAAUUUCCCAGAUGAUUCUCCAGAGCGGUGAGGAUGCUGAAACUGGGGAAGUUGUGUGGAGGAUUAACACUGUUUUACUGGGAUCUGUCUCUAAAUUGUUAUGUGUAAAAUAACAAGCAUGGAUUUCAGGAUUGCUACUGUGAUACAGUCAUGUGCUAGAUUUUGGUUAUUGAGUGUCCCUGAGGAGAGAAAGAGAACGUCAGCUAAAAUGUUGAAUGCUUUGUUAGUGAUUGCCAGCAUGCUUGAAAAGCUGAAGCUCAUGGAAAGAGUAGGUUUUGAGCAACAGGGACACACUAUGCAAGACUGCCCUUGCUCUGGUGGUUACGCUAGCUGCGUUACAGACCCCGCUCUUAUGAGGGUAACAUGCCUAGGGAAUAUAAAUAGAACAAACCUGCUGUGGUCGCAUAUAAGAAGACUGUAACUCAGUGGCUCUGCCAUAUACGUGAGUUACGUAAGUGCCAUUUUGGAAAUCUUGGCCUCACUUUUGGCUGCUCCAUGACAGGAAACAAACUCCAUGGGUGUGUUGGAGUCCUGCAGGCCUCCUGCUCCUGUCUGGCUUCACGGACUGGGCUCUUGCUGUAAGAUUUUGCAUCUCUCGUUGUACCUCCUGCUUUGUCUUUAUUGCAAAGGAGCAUGGCAGAAAAGAGCCUGUGCAGCUCUACAAAUGAGGGCAAAUAAUAAACAGAUAUAGAAGCUCUGUGAUUUGGUGGGAAUAUCUGUAACAAAGCUAGGGCUAUGAAACUGGCAUUUCUACUGGCUGCUUUGAACCAAUUUUAUUCCACUGUGGUGCAAAGAAUUCAUUUUUUCUGUGUAAAAGAUGGUGAUGUUAGGAAAAUCCAUGCUGUACAUUUACUGAUAGUGUUAUUCUGCCAUAGCUCUAACUGCUGUACUACAGGAACAGCAGUGGUACUUCUGAAGCUUUGAAACAGCAAAGUGUGACAGCCUCUAUGUGUCACCCUCCACUGAUCAACACUGUAGCUCUUUACCAUCUGGGUUUUGGGGAACCUCUCAUCAUUAAGGCUGUUCUGGUGUGUGUUCCUGUGUUGCCAGCUUGCAGUGCAGUAUCCAAGCCAUUCAGAUGGUCUGGACAGUCGCUGGGCACUGCUGGCAGUGGUGCUCAGGCAUCGGGCUGCUCGGCACCUGGGGCAGCGCUGGAGGCAGUGUGUCACACGUGGCCUGUUGCUGCUGGGGCUGGCAGGCUCUGGCAGCUCACACUCACCCCAGCUGAUUCAGGCAGGCUGCAGCUCAGCCGUGUGCUUGAAUGCGGGCCGUGGGGAUGUGCUACGGGGAUGGUCCCUCUUUGGGCUUUCAUGGGAGAAGGAAUAGAUCUGCUGAGAGGCCGUGGUGCCACCCUUACUUCCCUUCAGGUACCUCUGGAGGAGCCUUCAUGUAUGAAACCACGAAGGCAUCUGCUUUUACCUUACAUGUUGCGUCUAUGAUAAAAGCCAUGUGUGACCUUUUCUUCUUCUGUUAGAGGAAGAGGCCCAUCUGGCCUUAAGUUAAUGCUUUUCCUUUCUCAAAUCCUGUUUUUCUAAGCGUCUCACCAAAACACUCACGUUGUUUUUCGGACAAAUAUCUAGAGACCAACUCUGCUCUGAUGAAAUAGGAACCAAAGCUCCCCUCCGUGCCCAGCGGCCACACACGGCUGGCACCAGCAGCAAUGUGCCCACUGCCCAGCCCAGCCCUGGGCUGCACAGAAGUGCUGUGAGAGCUCUGGCUGAUGGAACAGCGACAGGGAGAUUGUGUAACGUGCUGUGGGCUGUGAGAGUCUGAGAGGUUAGCAGAAAACCUGCUUAUGGUUUAUUGUCACGGCCAGGCCUUACUGGAAAGGAAGCCCAGCGCCGCCUUCAAAGGGAGCUGCUCAGUGCUACUGAGUGUUUGAUACUGUUUCCCUGCAUGACUCUCCUUCAGCUGCUGUCUCAAGAAGGCAGCACUGAGCGCUGUUCUGAGAUUUUAUGAGCAAGUGCAGAGGCAGGAAAGGCUCUUUCUCAUACAGUGUGCUGCACCGUGAUUUCUGUGUGUGAUGUAUGGUGUAAAGCAGCCCUGGCUGUUUGCUGCACCCCCGGUGCACAGCGUCACUGGGAGAGCCCCUCCAGCACUCCCAUCUGGGGUGGCUGGGCAAGAGUUUCUUGGAGUUACGUUGUGACACUGUGUCUGCUGUGGAAAUAGCAGUAAGCACAGAGUGACCUCCUCUCUGCUAACGCCCUUCUUAAAAAUCCAAGGCUUGGAGCAGAAAGAGCCAGAUGUAGAAGCCUCUGUUUUUAGUUUGAGACGUGUCCCUUUAAAGCUCUGCUGUGGUUGGGUCCGUCUGUGCUUGUCAUUCCUUUGUUAACCAAAAAUCCCAAGCUGAGGAAAAUGAAGAACCGCUUCGCAGUUGUAGUGAGAUGCAAGAGGCCGUGGGCUGUGGCAGAGCCAGAACUUCUGCUUGGGAUAAAAACUAUUUGAGUGACUUGGAACUGCGGAGCUGGCUCACUUCGUUGUGCUGCCUUCAGAUGGCCGGACGUUGUGCUGAGUCAGCAGUGUGCUCCACAGCCUGUGCUGUUCCUUGGCCGUGCCUCGGGCCGGAGCACGCCUUUGCACUGAAGCCCUUCCAUCCUUUCUUUUCAGCUUACUCACAGAUGCACUUACAUUUCCCUGCUAACUUUCAUUCUGCUCUUGUGACUAGCUGCUGUGGCAGUGUCUCUUCUUCCUUCCCACGGAUUGUGGAGCGCUGAUGUGGAUGUCUGAUUUCAGGAGGUCUGCUACCAUUCCAAUUUUGUUUCCCUUGUUCCAUGCAUGCACAUUCUUCUCGCUCCUGACAGCUAUGGGGACUAUCCUCUGACUUGUGUGCCCAGCUGCAAAGCAGAGAUUUUGCUGAGUGCCAAAAAGCUCUUGUGUUUCUCUUGCAGUGACUGGGUUCCAGGUUCUGCUCGAAGGAGCAGAAAGAUCCAAUUUCAGCCAGUUGGAUUUUCCCAAACCAGCCCUCCCCCUCCCCCCCCCACUGGGAUGGCCACACAGUGCUGCUGUGUUUGGGUGUCAACACCUUCACACAGGAAUCUGUGCAAGGAAACCUUCUGGCAACUAAUCCCCAUGCAUCGUGUUUGGGAGUCCUUUAGGGAGAGGCUGUGACCCCACAGAGUCCCCUGCCUGCAUGUGUUUUUUCCAAGUGAGCAUUCAGACUGCUGCUCUUUCUGCUGGUUUUUCACAUUUUAACGAGUCCCGGGCCACAGACGUACUUAGCUCAAAAAUAAAUAAAUAAAUAAAAUCAGGAAAUGCCCCAUUAAUGCACUGGAGAUAGAAUCAGGCUGGAAAACUCCAAGAUGGACUGUAAUAGCACUGACCAUGAUGUAAAACCUGUGUGUUGAGCCGGCCAGAUGCCAGGAGCCUCAGGCUCUAAUCACAGCGCUGAGCUUGGCUAAUAAAACUAAAGAAGAGUGGAAAGAAAAAGGAAAAAAAGAGGCCUUGUUUAAAUUUCCUGAUGUUUCUCUAGGCACGCUCCUCUUGUCACAUGCUUUAACAAUGUAAGAAUUGCUCUGUUUCUAAGGUCUUUCAGGUGAAAGGUGUUCUCCAACCUCUGGCAGCCCCAGCCUUUCCAGGUCUCCUUGCCCAUCAGCACCAGCACAGCCAGCGUUUCAGGAGCAGCUGCUGAGCGAUGCCCUGAAGCUCUGUCUGCAUGGCUGCAUCACAGAGAGUAGCACGGACUGUCUUGCAAGAAUGGAAAACUGUGAGAAAGAAUGUGAAGGUACAGGAAGGCAAUGUGUCCAUCUGAAGUUUAUGGAAGUGCAAUUGCCAGUAUGCACCUCGGGUCUAAAGCAACAUUCAGACUGAUACUUAAAGUAGCAGUGCGUGUCUUGCUAGUUGCCCUUCCUCUCAUGGGUAUCACAGCUUUUCUGUGCUUGACUCUUUUUCAUACCCUUUUUCUGUAUGGAAUGGGAAAGUAAGAAUAGCUGGAAUGUUUGUGCAUUUCACAAAAUGGCAUGAAUUAUAGCACGCACAUAAAAAAGGGGCUGGGUUCCUUUUCUUUCUUGCUGCUGUGAUUGCAAAAAAGAUCUCGCUCUACAAAGAGGCACUUAUUGCAAAUCUUAUGCGAAGCAGCUGAGGGAACUGGGUUUGUUUAGUCUGUAGAAGAGGAGGCUCUGAGGAGACCUUAUCACUCCCAGCUGCCUCAGAGGAGGUUGUGGUGAGGUGGGGGUCGGCCUCUCCUCCCAGGUAACUGCAACAGGACGAGAGGGAAUGGCCUCAAGUUGUUCCAGGAGAGAUUCAGGUUGGAUAUUAGGAAAAACUUAGAAGAAGUGGUGAGGCAUUGGAGCAGGCUGCCUGCCUGGGGAGGUGGUGGAGUCACUGUUCCCACAGGUGUUUAAGGAAAGAGUAAGGGUGGUACUCAGGGACACAGAGAGUGGGCAAUGCUGGUGGCAGCUGGACUGCUGAACUAGAUCAUCUUAGAGGUCUUUUCCCACCUUAAUGAUUCUGUGAUUAUUAGAGGUGUGACUAUUCUCUAUUAGUGGAUAAAAACAAUUCAUAGAUCUCUUGGGAACUGAUAAUAGUAAGACCUUUGGAUACAGAAGAAAAGCUGAUCUCUAAGAGGACUGAGGAGUAGGUUCAAAACUGGAAUAUAUUCCUGAAGCCAAUUACUGGGAAGAAACUGAGAGUUUUGCCUAUGGAGUACAGAAUUGGAACUCAAGUUAUGCACGCUGAUUCAACAACUGUGCUAUUUUUGGCUUGUGAACUGUUCAAAUGGCUGUUUAUUUUUAAGGUCAUUUUCUGUUUGCAUAGCAUAUACACCCUUCUGGUGGGUGGGAGGCAUUAUAAAAACAAUCGCUGCUGCUGAGAAUUAUGAACUAAACUCGAAGAGGGAUGGCAGAAAACAGAACUUGGUGUACUUACUACUUUAAAAAACAUCUGUUUAGGUCAGAAGGUUUGUUGACCUACCCCAAGCUGUGGCCCCACCGGAAAAAUCCCAUUCCAAUUAAUAUAGACUACCACAGGGGAUUGCAAAAGACUUGGGAAAACUCAGACAGAUGAUAAAAUGGUAUAAACAGAAAGGAAGCGUCAGGUUUGGCAAUUUCUUCAAAAAUAUUCACCUUCUGGUAGUAAAUGCAAGACUAAAAUGUCCAUCCCGUGGCUGAAGAGUUGCUAAGAGCUGGAUUUCGUGCUGGCUGGCUGUGCCUCAAUCACAGCAUCUGUGCCAUUUCUUUUUCAGGCUCAUGUAAAAUAACACACUUCACUGACAUAUUUUUCUGGCUUCUUCCUGGUAGCCAUAUCUUUAUUCUCACACAGUCAAGUAAUACAAAUUGAUUGGACAGUGGCAGUUUACAAAAGAAAGUAAGAAUGAUUAUUUUGAGCUUAAAUUUAAAAAAUCUCAACCUGGCCACGUGGCAUUCAAUGCCAUUUUUAGACCAGAAACUGGUAAGGAAAUGGUUUAUAACGUUGGCAGUGGAUUCUCAGCCAUGUUCCUUUCCCAGAAAAUAAAAUACACCAUAUAAAAAUAUACUAGAAUUA